GCCCGAAACCAUGAUGGAGGUCGGAGGACAAUUGGAUUGAGCUAAAUAAGAGGGUUUGGGGAAGCUCUUUGAGCACUUGGCUCCUCAGUGAUGGACUCCCACUUGAAGUCCAUCGGAGUCUCAAUCGACAAAGGAGAUAAGACCCCUUCAUGAGUCUGUUUUAUUGCCUUUUCUUUUUUUUUGGUUUGGGCUUGCAUUGUGCUUCUAGCCGGUCCAUCGGACCUGGACCAAUACAUUAUGGGGGAAGGG
rnacentral:lncRNA from 1 species